rnacentral:lncRNA from 1 species
GACCAAAACAUUGAUGUCUUAGCCCAUUGUUUUUGUACUGCCUGCUGUAGGAAAAGCAUUUACGAGUGAUGAGUAACAUUUGUUUGUUAUGUACAAUUAUGUUUUGUUAGGGCAACAAGUGCCCAAGGGAUGAUUUGUAUUUCUCUCAAGAAAAUCUGUCUGGGGUGUUUGUCUAGACCACACUGUUUGUUCAGUUGAACCAUCUCUGACCUGCAGGCUGUAAACUCUUCACCACUGUGUUUCUCAGUCAUUUUUUGUGAUUUUUUUUUUUUUUGUAGCAACCUAUGAAGUACAAUUCAGAACCAGUGGAAUACAGAAUAAUGUUGAUUCUUGUUUUGGGCAUAUUCCAGGAAUCCAGAUUUGCAAUAAUGGAUUUAAAUGCGUUUUUGAAAACAUGAAGAACUGCAUUUAUUUUAACUAGAGCUCAAGAUUAACUUUUGCACUUGAAAAUAUUUCAGAGUUCUACAAACAACACGGAGUUUUGAAUACCAAGAACACUGUGUCAAGAUACUAAAGAUUUUUUUUUGUAGUGCAGCUUACCAUUACUGUAUGUGAACUGGGAGGAUAUACAGGAUGAUAUAAAAACGCUAACAAUGAAUAUCACAUUUUCAAAUAUACAUCUGUCUCAAAAACAGUUUAAAAAUUCAGCAAAUGUAUUGUAGAAAUCAUCACUUUCUGCCACGAGAAUAAAAAUUUUCAGAAAUUAAAUUUGUCUAAUUUUUAUCAUCAGUUUUAACAUUAUUUUCCCUGUUUUGAUACCUUUUCUUUGAAUUGACUUCUUUGUUACAGUAAUUCUGAAGUUCACUAUGGUUUAUACUUCUCUUUUUCCAGGGAAUAAGUUUUCUCUGCCAGCUUAUUUUCAGGCUUAAACCCACAGAAAAUAGCACAAAUUUCUGGGAUAUGUAGAAACAGUAACUGGAAAUUUUCUAAUUCCCACAGCAAAUUGGGCUUGAUUUUUGAAAGAAAAUCUAAAUGGCUUUUGUACUGCUCAGCUUAGAAGAGGUUGGCUUGAAUGACACGAGUGAUGGAAUGUGUAUGUUGAACUAGGUUAGCUCAAAGUUCACACUUCUGUGAUGCAAUAGCAAGUUAAUAACUUUAUUUUUCCUAAAUAAAUGCUGUAUUGUUCCUGUCUGAACAUCCAUGCCUUUUUGGAUUUUAAAAAUGUAUGUUCUAAUAAAACAUUUGAAAUGAGCUUGCUGUUUGUGUUGUGUUCAAAACACUGAAAAGGAGCCACUGAUUAUAAAUGUUGACAGAUUCAAUAAAUAAACUUACAGAAUACAAAAAAUACUUUACCUCUA